rnacentral:rRNA from 1 species
UCAUCCUACGGGGAGGCAGCAGUGGGGGAAUAUUGCACAAUGGGCGCAAGCCUGAUGCAGCCAUGCCGCGUGUGUGAAGAAGGCCUUCGGGUUGUAAAGCACUUUCAGUCGUGAGGAAGGUGGUGUAGUUAAUAGCUGCAUCAUUUGACGUUAGCGACAGAAGAAAGCACCGGCUAACUCCGUGCCAGCAGCCGCGGUAAUACGGAGGGUGCGAGCGUUAAUCGGAAUUACUGGGCGUAAAGCGCAUGCAGGUGGUUUGUUAAGUCAGAUGUGAAAGCCCGGGGCUCAACCUCGGAAUAGCAUUUGAAACUAGGCAGACUAGAGUACUGUAGAGGGGGGUAGGAAUUUCAGGUGUAGCGGUGAAAUGCGUAGAGAUCUGAAGGAAUACCGGUGGCGAAGGCGGCCCCCUCGGACAGAUACUGACACUCAGAUGCGAAAGCGUGGGGAGCAAACAGGAUUAGAUACCCUGGUAG